GACGAACGCUGGCGGCGUGCCUAAUACAUGCAAGUCGAACGCUGAAGGAGGAGCUUGCUCUUCUGGAUGAGUUGCGAACGGGUGAGUAACGCGUAGGUAACCUGCCUGGUAGCGGGGGAUAACUAUUGGAAACGAUAGCUAAUACCGCAUAAGAGUAGAUGUUGCAUGACAUUUGCUUAAAAGGUGCAAUUGCAUCACUACCAGAUGGACCUGCGUUGUAUUAGCUAGUUGGUGGGGUAACGGCUCACCAAGGCGACGAUACAUAGCCGACCUGGGAGGGUGAUCGGCCACACUGGGACUGAGACACGGCCCAGAAUCCUACGGGAGGCAGCAGUAGGGAAUCUUCGGCAAUGGACGGAAGUCUGACCGAGCAACGCCGCGUGAGUGAAGAAGGUUUUCGGAUCGUAAAGCUCUGUUGUAAGAGAAGAACGAGUGUGAGAGUGGAAAGUUCACACUGUGACGGUAUCUUACCAGAAAGGGACGGCUAACUACGUG
rnacentral:rRNA from 1 species